AUUGAACGCUGGCGGCAUGCCUUACACAUGCAAGUCGAACGGCAGCACGGGUGCUUGCACCUGGUGGCGAGUGGCAAACGGGUGAGUAAUAUAUCGGAACGUACCUUAUUGUGGGGGAUAACGCAGCGAAAGCUGUGCUAAUACCGCAUAAUCCCUAAGGGGGAAAGCGGGGGACCGUAAGGCCUCGCGCAAUUAGAGCGGCCGAUACCUGAUUAGCUAGUUGGUGAGGUAAAGGCUCACCAAGGCAACGAUCAGUAGCUGGUCUGAGAGGACGAUCAGCCACACUGGGACUGAGACACGGCCCAGACUCCUACGGGAGGCAGCAGUGGGGAAUUUUGGACAAUGGGGGCAACCCUGAUCCAGCAAUGCCGCGCGAGUGAAGAAGGCCUUCGGGUUGUAAAGCUCUUUUGUCAGGGAAGAAACAGCAGCUCUAACACAGUUUGCGAAUGACGGUACCUGAAGAAUAAGCACCGGCUAACUACGUGCCAGCAGCCGCCGUAA
rnacentral:rRNA from 1 species